rfam:Sarcophilus harrisii ctg7180001530658, whole genome shotgun sequence.
CAUUUUUCUUAAACAGUGCUUUAAAAAAAUU